rnacentral:rRNA from 1 species
ACCUGCGGAAGGAUCAUUACCGAGUGAGGGCCCUCUGGGUCCAACCUCCCACCCGUGUCUAUCGUACCUUGUUGCUUCGGCGGGCCCGCCGUUUCGACGGCCGCCGGGGAGGCCCUGCGCCCCCGGGCCCGCGCCCGCCGAAGACCCCAACAUGAACGCUGUUCUGAAAGUAUGCAGUCUGAGUUGAUUAUCGUAAUCAGUUAAAACUUUCAACAACGGAUCUCUUGGUUCCGGCAUCGAUGAAGAACGCAGCGAAAUGCGAUAAGUAAUGUGAAUUGCAGAAUUCAGUGAAUCAUCGAGUCUUUGAACGCACAUUGCGCCCCCUGGUAUUCCGGGGGGCAUGCCUGUCCGAGCGUCAUUGCUGCCCUCAAGCACGGCUUGUGUGUUGGGCCCCCGUCCCCCUCUCCCGGGGGACGGGCCCGAAAGGCAGCGGCGGCACCGCGUCCGGUCCUCGAGCGUAUGGGGCUUUGUCACCUGCUCUGUAGGCCCGGCCGGCGCCAGCCGACACCCAACUUUAUUUUUCUAAGGUGACCUCGGAUCAGGUAGGGAUACCCGCUGAACUUAAGCAUAUCAAUAAGGCGGAGGAAAUCAUUACCGAGUGAGGGCCCUCUGGGUCCACCUCCACCGUGUCUAUCGUACCUUGUUGCUUCGGCGGGCCCCCGUUUCGACGGCCGCGGGGAAGCCCGGCCCCGGCCCCCCGCCGAAGACCAACAUGAACGUGUUUCUGAAAGUUAUGCAGUCGGAGGUUGAAUUAUCGUUAAUCAGUUUAAAAACUUUUCACAA